UCACUGAGGACUGUGGAAACGUUGGUACAGACUUUGAGAAGGUCAACAGUUCCUUCUGUCGUCUGUAUCUCUCCAUCUCCUCUGAUGAAAGUUACUUCUGUGAGGACUCAUCUGGACAGCAGAGUGAUGAAGUCUCCAUCAGUGUUAUAGACAAAGGUGUGAUCCUGGAGAUCCCUGCACUUCCUGUCAUGACAGGAAGUGAUGUCACUCUGUCUUGUAAACCCAGAGAUGGUUCAAAAAGAAAAUCCUAUUUCUCCCGAGAUGAUGUUAGACUUGGAUCUAGACCUGAAGGAGAGCUGGUUCUGUCUAAAGUCAAGCAGGCUGAUGAAGGUCUCUAUUCAUGUACUACCGAUCUUCAUCCACACUCUCCUCAGAGCAGAUUGAGGGUCAGAGAUCCUCCUCUUCCUCCCACCACGACAGCCUCUCCUCCUAUUUCUCUCUCUACUCUCUCCUCUUCUUCUACUUCCUGUUGUACUCUCCCUCCCUCCUCUUCCUCUCCAG
ensembl:lncRNA